AUUGAACGCUGGCGGCAUGCUUUACACAUGCAAGUCGAACGGUAACAGGUUAAGCUGACGAGUGGCGAACGGGUGAGUAAUGCAUCGGAACGUGCCCGGUCGUGGGGGAUAACGCAGCGAAAGCUGCGCUAAUACCGCAUACGAUCUGAGGAUGAAAGCGGGGGACCGUAAGGCCUCGCGCGAUCGGAGCGGCCGAUGUCAGAUUAGGUAGUUGGUGGGGUAAAGGCUCACCAAGCCGACGAUCUGUAGCGGGUCUGAGGGGAUGAUCCGCCACACUGGGACUGAGACACGGCCCAGACUCCUACGGGAGGCAGCAGUGGGGAAUUUUGGACAAUGGGCGCAAGCCUGAUCCAGCCAUGCCGCGUGCGGGACGAAGGCCUCGG
rnacentral:rRNA from 1 species